UACGUAGGUGGCGAGCGUUGUUCGGAUUUAUUGGGCGUAAAGGGUCCGCAGGUUGUAGAUUAAGUCUGAUGUGAAAUCCUAUGGCUCAACCAUAGAAUUGCAUUGGAAACUGAUUUACUAGAGUAUUGGAGAGGUGAGUGGAAUUCCUGGUGUAGCGGUGGAAUGCGUAGAUAUCAGGAAGAACACCGAAAGCGAAGGCAGCUCACUGGACAAUUACUGACACUCAGGGACGAAAGCGUGGGGAGCGAACAGG
rnacentral:rRNA from 1 species